rnacentral:rRNA from 1 species
GGCGAACGGGUGAGUAAUGCAUCGGAACGUGCCCAGUCGUGGGGGAUAACUGCUCGAAAGAGCAGCUAAUACCGCAUACGACCUGAGGGUGAAAGCGGGGGACCGUAAGGCCUCGCGCGAUUGGAGCGGCCGAUGUCAGAUUAGCUAGUUGGUGGGGUAAAGGCCUACCAAGGCAACGAUCUGUAGUUGGUCUGAGAGGACGACCAGCCACACUGGGACUGAGACACGGCCCAGACUCCUACGGGAGGCAGCAGUGGGGAAUUUUGGACAAUGGGCGCAAGCCUGAUCCAGCAAUGCCGCGUGCAGGAAGAAGGCCUUCGGGUUGUAAACUGCUUUUGUCAGGGAAGAAAUCUUCUGGGCUAAUACCCCGGGAGGAUGACGGUACCUGAAGA